AAUUUUGGACAAUGGGCGCAAGCCUGAUCCAGCCAUGCCGCGUGAGUGAAGAAGGCCNNNGGGUUNUCAAGCUCUUUCGGACGNAACNAAAUCGCGCAGGCUAAUACCCUGCGCGGCUGACGGUACCGUCAUAAGAAACACCGGCUAACUACUUGCCAGCAGCCGCGGUUAUACGUAGGGGUCGAGCGUUAAUCGGCAUUACUGGGCGUAACGCGGGCCACGGAGGUUGAUUAAGACAGGCGUGAAAUCCCCGGGCUUAACCUGGGAACUGCGCUUGUGACUGGUCAGCUAGAGUACGGCAGAGGGGGGUGGAAUUCCACGUGUAGCAGUGAAAUGCGUAGAGAUGUGGAGGAACACCGAUGGCGAAGGCAGCCCCCUGGGCCGAUACUGACGCUCAUGCACGAAAGCGUGGGUAGCAAACAGG
rnacentral:rRNA from 1 species